rnacentral:tRNA from 1 species
AAAGUGUUAGUAAAUCAAUUACACCAUCUUGUCAUGAUGGAAUAACGGGAUAAGUUUCUGUACACCUUA